rnacentral:rRNA from 1 species
AUUGAACGCUGGCGGCAGGCCUAACACAUGCAAGUCGAACGAGUGGCGGACGGGUGAGUAAUGUCUGGGAAACUGCCUGAUGGAGGGGGAUAACUACUGGAAACGGUAGCUAAUACCGCAUACCAUCAGAUGUGCCCAGAUGGGAUUAGCUUGUUGGUGGGGUAACGGCUCACCAAGGCGACGAUCCCUAGCUGGUCUGAGAGGAUGACAGGCUACAGUGGAACGGAGACACGUACCAGACUCCUACGAGAGGCAGAAGUGGGGAAUAUUUAACAACGGGCCCAAACAGGAUCUAGCCAAGCCGCGUGUAUGAAGACGGCCUUCGGGGUGUAAAGUACUUCCAGCGGGUAGGCGUUACUCGCAGAAGAAGCAGCGGCUAACUCCGUGACAGCAGCCGCGGUAAUUC